AAAAGCAUCAGGAAGUACCCA
rnacentral:miRNA from 1 species